GACGAACGCUGGCGGCGUGCUUAACACAUGCAAGUCGAACGGAAAGGCCCUGCUUUUGUGGGGUGCUCGAGUGGCGAACGGGUGAGUAACACGUGAGUAACCUGCCCUUGACUUUGGGAUAACUUCAGGAAACUGGGGCUAAUACCGGAUAGGAGCUCCUGCUGCAUGCUGGGGGUUGGAAAGUUUCGGCGGUUGGGGAUGGACUCGCGGCUUAUCAGCUUGUUGGUGGGGUAGUGGCUUACCAAGGCUUUGACGGGUAGCCGGCCUGAGAGGGUGACCGGCCACAUUGGGACUGAGAUACGGCCCAGACUCCUACGGGAGGCAGCAGUGGGGAAUAUUGCACAAUGGGCGGAAGCCUGAUGCAGCAACGCCGCGUGCGGGAUGACGGCCUUCGGGUUGUAAACCGCUUUCGCCUGUGACGAAGCGUGAGUGACGGUAAUGGGUAAAGAAGCACCGGCUAACUACGUG
rnacentral:rRNA from 1 species